rnacentral:rRNA from 1 species
AGAGUUUGAUCCUGGCUCAGGACGAACGCUGGCGGCGUGCUUAACACAUGCAAGUCGAACGGUGAUGACGGGGCUUGCCUUGUCUGAUCAGUGGCGAACGGGUGAGUAACACGUGAGUAACCUGCCCCAGACUCUGGGAUAACCCCGGGAAACCGGAGCUAAUACCGGAUAUGACCCUCGUACGCAUGUGCAGGGGGUGGAAAGUUUUUUCGGUCUGGGAUGGGCUCGCGGCCUAUCAGCUUGUUGGUGAGGUAGUGGCUCACCAAGGCGACGACGGGUAGCCGGCCUGAGAGGGCGACCGGCCACACUGGGACUGAGACACGGCCCAGACUCCUACGGGAGGCAGCAGUGGGGAAUAUUGCACAAUGGGCGGAAGCCUGAUGCAGCGACGCCGCGUGAGGGAUGACGGCCUUCGGGUUGUAAACCUCUUUCAGCAGGGAAGAAGCGUGAGUGACGGUACCUGCAGAAGAAGCACCGGCUAACUACGUGCCAGCAGCCGCGGUAAUAC